rnacentral:rRNA from 1 species
UGCCAGCAGCCGCGGUAAUACGGAGGAUCCAAGCGUUAUCCGGGAUCAUUGGGUUUAAAGGGUCCGUAGGCGGCCUUAUAAGUCAGUGGUGAAAGUUUUUGGCUUAACCAAAAAAUUGCCAUUGAUACUGUAGGGCUUGAAUGUCUGUGAAGUAACUAGAAUAUGUAGUGUAGCGGUGAAAUGCUUAGAUAUUACAUGGAAUACCGAUUGCGAAGGCAGGUUACUAACAGAUGAUUGACGCUGAUGGGCGAAAGCGUGGGUAGCGAACAGGAUUAGAUACCCUGGUAGUCCACGCCGUAAACGAUGGAUACUAGCUGUUCGGGAGCAAUCUUGAGUGGCUAAGCGAAAGUGAUAAGUAUCCCACCUGGGGAGUACGAACGCAAGUUGAAACUCAAAGAAUGACGG